rnacentral:piRNA from 1 species
UGUGUCGCAGCUAAAUUGUUU